CACCAGCCCCUCGAGGUGGUGGGGAUGAUUAUUUGGCCUAAAGCGUCCGUAGCCGGCCCGGGUAAAGUUUCCCGUUAAAUCCAGCGUCUCAAGCGUUGGACUGCGGGAAAUACUGCCUGGCUAGAGAGUGGGAGAGGUGUACGGUAUUCUGGGGGUAGGGGCGAAAUCCUUUGAUCCCCGGAGGACCACCAGUGGCGAAGGCUGUACACUAGAACACGUCUGACGGUCAGGGACGAAAGCUGGGGUAGCGAACCGGAUUAGAUACCCGGGUAGUCCCAGCUGUAAACGAUGCAUGCUAGGUGUUGGGUUGGCCACGAGCCACCCCAGUGCCGCAGGGAAGCCGUUAAAGCAUGCCGCCUGGGAAGUACGGAUCGCAAGAUUGAAACUUAAAGGAAUUGGCGGGGGAGCACCACCAGGCGUGAAGCCUGCGGUUU
rnacentral:rRNA from 1 species